rnacentral:lncRNA from 1 species
UCCGUUGAUUAAAAUAAUGAAAAUUCUUUGGCCAAUAACUUAAGGACCUAAGGAUGUUCUAUUAUAAAAAGAGAGGACACCCUUUAUCCAUUGAAUAAAAUGGGUGCUCAAUUUUUUGUAUAAAUAGAUGGUGGGAGGACACAUUUUUGACAUUUUUCCUCUCUUUUAAAAUACACAUAUAUUUAUUUUUUACAACUCAUAAACAUUUUUUCUUUGCAAACUCACACACAUAUUCAUAAAUAUACAAACAUAUUUUAUUUAUUUCAUUUUUCUAUUUUUCUCUUCAAAACACACCACAGAUAUAGACAUACACUAAUACACCACACAUAUACACACUAAAAUCAAAUGGUUGCUCACUUUUCUCUCCCAAAACACACUAUACAAAACACACACAAACAUACACUAAACCACACACCAAAUCAGAUCCAAAAUCUCUCACUUUCUCCCUCAUUGACGCACAUCUCUCACAUAUAGAUCUUUCGACUCCUUCCCGCAGCUAAACAACCAAACAACCAGCCUCUCUCUGUCCCUUCGUUUCACACUGCCUCGCCGGAUCUGGCCUCCGGCAGGCGAGAUGCCAACCACCAGCGCCAUUCCGACCAACACCUCACUUCUCCCUUUCGAUCUCAUGCGUCACCACCCCACCGAAUUCCAGCAUAGCCCUUUCCGCCACUGCCUCCUUCUCUUUUCCACUGUAACACCGAAAACCAUGGAGUUUUCUCCCGUGUUAUCACCCCUAAAUACUGGAUCUACAAGAAAAAUGAUGUUUUCUUCUCUUAUUUUGCUUAUCAUGUUAUUGUUUUGAAUUGUUCUGAUGCUUUUAUGCUGGCGAGAAUAUUAUUGCUUGGCUAUAAUUGCAUUUGCUUUAUGUUACAAGUGGGUCAUUAGACCAGAAACUUUAUUUCUUGGAUUACUAUUUCUGAUUGUUUUGUCUUUACAGUGGAUUUCUCCACUGUAUUUAUUUAUUAUACUGAUAAUGAAUAAGAUACUAUACAUUUGGCCAAUGAAAAAAUUACUAUUAAUUUUGAGGCCUCCGUAAACAAAAGAUGAAUUUUACGUAUAUAAAUACGUAAUAAAUAGAUAUUUUUGGUGAUGAUGAAACUUUAUAACAAUACAAGAUUUUACGAUUCAUAUUUUGGCAAGAUGAUUUUGGACGACCAAUUAAUUGAGCAACCACUUCGUUGCAAAAUGAUUUAGGAUUGCCAAUUAAUUGAGCAAUCAUUUCACAACCAUGACUUUAUCUAAGCCCACUUUUAACAAAAAAAUAUAUGUUUAUAUAUUUAUAUGCAUACAUACUUGUUCAAUUUAUUUUGAUUAUUUUUUAUUUGUUACUAACAUUCUUUUUUAGUGCUUAUACAGGUUAUUUUGAAAUAUUUGUCGGGAGUUGCAGUCAAAGAGACCCUUAAAUUUUAUAUUGUAUUUUAUAUUCUCACACUUGUACAAAUAAUAAAAAAUAGUGAAAACUUUACUUUUUGGGUGUCGGGCGGGAAUAUUCUUCAUUUACAUAAUUUCAUCAAUUUUAGGCAAAAUUUAGGCCGUUAAUAUUUACAUAAAAUAAUUAAGUUAAUCAACUAAUUCACAU